rnacentral:rRNA from 1 species
UACGGAGGAUCCAAGCGUUAUCCGGAUUUAUUGGGUUUAAAGGGUGCGUAGGCGGCUUUUUAAGUCAGGGGUGAAAACUUGCGGCUCAACCGUAAGCUUGCCUUUGAUACUGAGGAGCUUGAAUACACUUGAGGUAGGCGGAAUGUGACAAGUAGCGGUGAAAUGCAUAGAUAGUGUCACAGAACACCAAUUGCGAAGGCAGCUUACCUAAGUGAGAUUGACGCUGAGGCACGAAAGCGUGGGGG